rnacentral:rRNA from 1 species
GAUGAACGCUGGCGGCGUGCCUAAUACAUGCAAGUCGAGCGAACGGACGAGAAGCUUGCUUCUCUGAUGUUAGCGGCGGACGGGUGAGUAACACGUGGAUAACCUACCUAUAAGACUGGGAUAACUUCGGGAAACCGGAGCUAAUACCGGAUAAUAUUUUGAACCGCAUGGUUCAAAAGUGAAAGACGGUCUUGCUGUUACUUAUAGAUGGAUCCGCGCUGCAUUAGCUAGUUGGUAAGGUAACGGCUUACCAAGGCAACGAUGCAUAGCCGACCUGAGAGGGUGAUCGGCCACACUGGAACUGAGACACGGUCCAGACUCCUACGGGAGGCAGCAGUAGGGAAUCUUCCGCAAUGGGCGGAAGCCUGACGGAGCAACGCCGCGUGAGUGAUGAAGGUCUUCGGAUCGUAAAACUCUGUUAUUAGGGAAGAACAUAUGUGUAAGUAACUGUGCACAUCUUGACGGUACCUAAUCAGAAAGCCACGGCUAACUACGUG